rnacentral:lncRNA from 10 species
CUCCCUUUAAAAGAACUGUGGGUUCAGUGGCAGGCAUCAAACACUCCUGGUUGUGACUCCCCUGGGGAUGGCCCCUCGGGCUGCAGGCAUCACAUACUCCACUUUUCUGCAGGUAGCCUCUGGGAGCCUAAGAUGACUGCUGCAGCCAGACACAAGCUCCCGGCCUUGAACCACGGGGUCCUUCCAAAGUCUCAUGGGGCGCUGAUGCUAGCACUCUACCAGCUCUCCUGAAUCCCAGCACCUUCGUUUCCUAACAGCCAGCAUCAUGGUCUCAAGAUGUAAAGCAAUGGUCUGACCCCUGCACUCGAGCCUGGGAAACUGUGGUGUAGAAGUUGGCAGCAGGACCCUCGGACUGGUCUGCCCAAGGUCUAAAUGCUGGCUCUACCUUUGACGUUCUGCAUGCUCUAACUGCUCCGUGCCUCAGUUUCCUCAUCUGAGAAAUGGGGGUGUGAGGGGCUGAAUCAUGUCCCUCCAAAAUUCACGUGUUGAAGCCCCAACAUACAGCACCUCAGAAUGUGACCAUAUUUGGAGACAAGAUCUUUAAAAAGGUAACCAAGUUAAAAUGAGAUCAUUGGAGUGGGCCCUAGUCCAGUAUGUCUGGUGUCCUUGUAAGAAGAUGGGGACACACAAAGAGCCCCCAGGGAUGCUCACACAUUCAGAGGGAAGACCACGUGAGGACACAGGGAGAAGACAGCCAUCUGCGAGCCAAGGAGAGAGACCUCAGGAGAAACCAACCCUGCCAACACCUUGAUCUCAGACUUCCAGCCUCUGGAACUGUGAAAAAAUAAAUGUCUGUUGUUUAAGCCACCCAAUCUGUGGCACUUUGUUAUGGCAGCUGGAGCUGGCUGACACAGGGAGUGUUUAGAAUCAUAACUAUUUCAGUACCCAUUCUGGUUAUGUUCAUUUUGGAACCAGACUGCCUAGGAUCAAAUGCCUGCUCAUGCAUUUACUUAUUCUAAGCUUUAGUUGUCCAGUCUGUGCAAUGGGGAUACUCAUUGUGCCUGCCUUGCAGGGUUGCUAGGACGUUUAGAGAGCUCAUGUACAUUAAGUGCUGAAGAUGGCAGAGUUAGCAAAUGUCUGAGCGGGAAUUUGAUCCCAGGUAAUCCAAUGCCAAAAUGAAUGCAACCAGAAUGACUCUAUGGCAAGUCAAUAUUGUUUAAUCAUAAACUGUAUCUCCCUAGUCAAUAAAAAAUGAACAUUGUAAAAAUGUAGAAAUAAAAGUAAAAUUGCUCUCUGGA